CCUGGCCCCAGAGGAGUUGCAGGUGUGGCUGCUGUGUCACGUGUGCAUCAGUAGGUGGCAGAGAGAAGGGCUAUGUCUCCACAUCGUGUUCUGACCAAUAAACAUCUGAAUGAUUAGUAGCCUAACAUU